UUCCGGUUGAUCCUGCCGGACCCUACUGCUAUCGGGAUGAGACUAAGCCAUGCGAGUCGCUCUAGCCAUGUGAGGCGAACGGCUCAGUAACACGUAGAUAACCUACCCUUAGGAUGAGGACAACCCCGGGAAACUGGGAUUAAUACUCAAUAGGCGGAAGGAACUGGAAUGUCCCUCCACCGAAAAGACUUUGUGCCUAAGGAUGGGUCUGCGUCUGAUCAGGUUGUUGGUGGGGUAACGGCCUACCAAGCCUAUAACCGGUACGGGCCCUGAGAGGGGGAGCCCGGAGAUGGAAACUGAGACAAGGGCCCAGGCCCUACGGGGCGCAGCAGUCGCGCAAACUUUGCAAUACACGAAAGUGUGACAGGGCUAUCCCGAGUGCCAUCCGCUGAGGAAGGCUUUUACCCAGUGUAGAACGCUGGGGGAAUAAGGAGAGGGCAAGUUCUGGUGUCAGCCGCCGCGGUAAUACCAGCUCUCCGAGUGGUGUGGAUGUUUAUUGGGCCUAAAGCAUCCGUAGCUGGCUGGACAAGUCCCCUGUUAAAUCCACCGAUUUAAUCGUUGGUGUGCGGGGGAUACUGUUUGGCUAGGGGACGGGAGAGGCCGACGGUAUUUUCGGGGUAGGGGUGAAAUCCUAUAAUCCCGGGAGGACCACCAGUGGCGAAGGCUGUCGGCUAGAACGAGCUCAACGGUGAGGGACGAAAGCUGGGGGAGCGAACCGGAUUAGAUACCCGGGUAGUCCCAGCCGUAAACGAUGCAGGCUAGGUGUUAGGGUGGCUACGAGCCACUCUAGUGCCGCAGCGAAGGCAUUAAGCCUGCCGCCUGGGGAGUACGGCCGCAAGGCUGAAACUUAAAGGAAUUGGCGGGGGAGCACCACAAGGGGUGAAGGCUGCGGUUUAAUUGGAGUCAACGCCGGA
rnacentral:rRNA from 1 species